rnacentral:rRNA from 1 species
UACGAAGGGGGCUAGCGUUGCUCGGAAUCACUGGGCGUAAAGGGUGCGUAGGCGGGUCUUUAAGUCAGGGGUGAAAUCCUGGAGCUCAACUCCAGAACUGCCUUUGAUACUGAAGAUCUUGAGUUCGGGAGAGGUGAGUGGAACUGCGAGUGUAGAGGUGAAAUUCGUAGAUAUCGGGAGGAACACCGGUGGCGAAGGCGGCGAUCUGGGUAGAUACUGACGCUGAGGUGCGAAAGCGUGGGGAGCAAACAGG